GUAAUUUGGGGCUGUAUCAAUUGUGUUGAUGUUUCUUAACUCUUAGUCUGUGGGAAAGGCAAAUUAGCCGCCCCCCCCUCCCCCGCAGUGUGCAAGAUUUUCCUCCUUCUUGUGCCUCCUUGAUUUUGCCUGUCUUUCUGUCCAGCCUUAGUACCAUAGUCCAGUUCAGGAGGCACUGCCCCAGCAGUCUGAAACAAGCCCUGAGUGUCCGCUGAGCAGACAGUCUCUUGCUGAGGGUGACCAAGGAUUCUGGAACCCAAAGAGUCACAGACACUUAAGAGAACACUCUGCCACUAACCUACCAUCUCUGGGUUAUUUGUCCCUUUUGAGGGGGGAUCUGGUGGCUGACCCUUAUACCCCAGGCCUCUCUCUUCUCUGGGUAGCUCAGUGUCUGUAGAAACAGCUUAGCUCUCACUUGGUGGAUUUCCCCUAACUCCAUCCUCCAUGCCUCACUAUACCCCAGCUGUCACCCUCAGAGGGCUGGGGGUUGAGGCCACCAUACCUCCUCAGGCUAGGGAAGCUGUACUUCUCCAUUCACAGAAAGAACAUGUGAGGAAGAUCCAUGGCACCCGAGGACCCCAAGAACCCUCAGAGUCCAGUCCCAAUCAGCCCAGCAUUUUACCAGCUGGGUUGUGUCUGGCCCGGUCUGGCUCCAGAGAGAGGAUAUGUAUAGCACCUUCCACCAAGGGAAAAAGGUUAUCCGUUGUCAUCUCUACCUGGAGUACAGCCAGAUGGGGCUAGCGGCCGGCUUCUGUGUCUCAUGUGAGGUCAAACUAUAAACUCCUUGGUUUAUCUGUCCACUUAUUUGGGCCCCAGUAGGGGGCCCUGACUUUGGCCUAAUAGCUGUGCUGAGUUGAAUGCUCAGCUGUCUUUGAAGUUCAUCACUCUGGACUUUCCAAGAAGCAGAUGCUGAAGUGGCCCUAAAAUCUGGAUUUGAACUUGAACUUUGUUCUUUCUGAAAAAGGGGCUUUGAAGUUGUUCCCACCUGGACUUUCCAAGAAGCAGAUGCUGAAGUGGCCAGAGGUUUCUUGGGAAAUCACACCUUUGAGAGGAGCAAGGAGGGAACUAGGGACAGUGAUGGAAACCUGUCGAAGUCUGAAACAUCUGUCUGUGUGUUAAGAAGCACCGACUGCCGGAAGCCCUCCUUGACUGGCAUGUGUGGUGACCUGUAUUCCUCAGAAGCUCCGAGAGAAGUCCAUGGAUGAAGAGAGCCACACUCGCUCUUAUCACAGGCUGUGAAGGGACUGCCUUUGGUUUUGUCCCAAGGCUGCUGUUUGGCUACGCAACGCUCCUCCAGGGGCCACACCGCUCUCCUCCCCCACUACCCACCUGCCUCUAUUCCGCAAAGCAGGCUUCUACUAAGACAGAUAUAGCCGUCAAGGGGAACCAUACAAGGAGAAAGACCCUGAACUGUCUCCAUUACCUUUUCCUGUGGCCGGGAAAUACCACUGCCCGACUUUCUACAUGUAUCCAGAAUCCUAGUCUGACUGCGUGGACCCAUCCACAGG